ACAGUUUCUGAACAAUUUAAUAACUGAAUUAUAGAUCAGGUAUGUCUAUUUUAAAAGCAUUGUGGGUUUUUUUGGUAAGGUUUCUUAUUUGCCUAUAUACAUAUGUAGCUGCUGUUGCAUAUGAACCCCAUGAACAGCUACAGAGAUCUCCCAGAGUUCCCUAGCAGAACAUGCAAGUUUCAGUCAAACAACACUCAUGUUGCCUUUGAGUCUAGAGAAGUACAUGGGGUGAGCUGGAGAUGGCAACACAAUGGCUGCGAAAGACAACAAAGAACAACAAGCAGCAGCACACAUGAAGUAACAGCUUUUUAUAGUCCUCCCCUUUUAAAUUGAAACUCAUGGCUGCCAUAUGAUCCUGUUAUAUUUUUUGUGAGAGGAGGGUGGUUAAUUCUAGCUUCCUGGAUAAAUCUGAAUUUGAGUAAUUACAUUUUGCAUCCUUAAAAUUCCCUUGAAGGCUAAAAAGAGUAAUUUUUUUCUUCCUUUCCCUCCCUAAAACAGCUAUGUAAUGUUGUCAACAUGACUCCCCAAACCCACACUAACAAACUACAUGAUUCUCCUCAGUGGCAGUACAACACAUAAAGACUGCCGGUGAUUUUGCAUGGAUCCUCAAGACAAAACCAGGAAAAAACAGGACUUCACUUAAAUUCUCUGGAAAACAGUAUCACUGGAAAACAGGCAUUCACCUUCUGAGAGCAGACAGCAGUGUUCUCUAGAUAAAGUAAGCAAGUCUCAAAGAGAUUCAGCUUAACCAGUACCAAAUACUCCCUUAUAAGGGGUUUCUAAAAUGGGAGAUAUACAGCUAAGACAUUUAAAGGGAGACAGAUUGGAAAAAUAAAAGCAGACUUCUUCCACUACAUGCCUUUCAGCAAUCUCAAGGUUUUGGAAGCAACCUCAGACACAUGGGGUUUGUCAGCAGUUCAGUGUUUAUUGCUGGGUCUCCACACUCAGCUGCUGAGGUGAACAAUUCUGAUCCAUAUCUACCUCUUUCUCGUCUAGGGAAGUUCACAUUUAGAUUGUUUUCUUGUCAAUGGUCACAGCUAAAGCUUCACAGCAAGCCUGAGUUUUGAUUACUGCAGGAAAACAGAACAGGAGAAGCUGCAAAAUGAGAUUAUGGAGGGCCACAGAGAACACUGCCCAUGCAGGGCUCACAGGUCAUGAGCAAAAUCUUAGCCAUAGGAAAAAAAAAAGGCUGUCUAAAAAUCAGCACAGAAAAUACAGAACAUGAAUUCAGCACUGAGCUGGCCUCGUCCUAAUAAAAAGCUUAGCGAAAUCUGGAUAAGCCAAACUUUUCAGCUCAGCGUAACACGGAGAGCAGUAUGGGAUUAUAGCUAGCAAGUCCAAAUGUUACUAAAACAAUAGAUGCAAUAUAAA